AUUGAACGCUGGCGGCAUGCUUUACACAUGCAAGUCGAACGGUAACAGGCCGCAAGGUGCUGACGAGUGGCGAACGGGUGAGUAAUGCAUCGGAACGUGCCCAGUCGUGGGGGAUAACGCAGCGAAAGCUGUGCUAAUACCGCAUACGAUCUAUGGAUGAAAGCGGGGGACCGUAAGGCCUCGCGCGAUUGGAGCGGCCGAUGUCAGAUUAGGUAGUCGGUGGGGUAAAGGCUCACCAAGCCAACGAUCUGUAGCUGGUCUGAGAGGACGACCAGCCACACUGGGACUGAGACACGGCCCAGACUCCUACGGGAGGCAGCAGUGGGGAAUUUUGGACAAUGGGCGCAAGCCUGAUCCAGCAAUGCCGCGUGCAGGAAGAAGGCCUUCGGGUUGUAAACUGCUUUUGUACGGAACGAAAAGGUUUGGGUUAAUACCCUGGCCGAUGACGGUACCGUAAGAAUAAGCACCGGCUAAUUACGUGCCAGCCGCCGCCGUAA
rnacentral:rRNA from 1 species